rnacentral:rRNA from 1 species
AUGAAGUACAUGCACUGUCUUUGCGAAGGAUUGGAGCUCCCAGAGUUAGACAAAGGCAUUGCUUUUCCAGGGAUGGACUCUAUCGAGAAAGUUCUCGAGUUGGUGAAGAUUAUACAGUUAGAUGCUUACAAUUCUGGUAUUUUCAGUCAUGAAAGAGGGCAACAGCCAGAUGUAUGGCGUGCAUGUGAUGAGUCAUUUGGUAGAAAAGAAAAGGACACACACUGCAAAAAGAAGCAUGGAAAAGGUGCACCUCCUCCUGAGGAUUCUUUUGUACCUAUGGACGAUGGUAUGUUUCAUAUGUUGAAUGUCAAUGGGAAGGUGGAAAGUUUAUUUGCAGAGCAGCCCCCUCGUCCUUAA